UGGAUCAGUGGCGAACGGGUGAGUAACACGUGAGCAACCUGCCCCGAACUCUGGGAUAAGCGCUGGAAACGGCGUCUAAUACCGGAUACGCACCAGAGCGGCAUCGUUACUGGUGGGAAAGAUUUAUUGGUUCGGGAUGGGCUCGCGGCCUAUCAGCUUGUUGGUGAGGUAACGGCUCACCAAGGCGUCGACGGGUAGCCGGCCUGAGAGGGUGACCGGCCACACUGGGACUGAGACACGGCCCAGACUCCUACGGGAGGCAGCAGUGGGGAAUAUUGCACAAUGGGCGCAAGCCUGAUGCAGCAACGCCGCGUGAGGGAUGACGGCCUUCGGGUUGUAAACCUCUUUUAGCAGGGAAGAAGCGAAAGUGACGGUACCUGCAGAAAAAGCGCCGGCUAACUACGUGCCAGCAGCCGCGGUAAUACGUAGGGCGCAAGCGUUAUCCGGAAUUAUUGGGCGUAAAGAGCUCGUAGGCGGUCUGUCGCGUCUGCUGUGAAAACCCGAGGCUCAACCUCGGGCCUGCAGUGGGUACGGGCAGACUAGAGUGCGGUAGGGGAGAUUGGAAUUCCUGGUGUAGCGGUGGAAUGCGCAGAUAUCAGGAGGAACACCGAUGGCGAAGGCAGAUCUCUGGGCCGUAACUGACGCUGAGGAGCGAAAGGGUGGGGAGCAAACAGGCUUAGAUACCCUGGUAGUCCACCCCGUAAACGUUGGGAACUAGUUGUGGGGGCCUUUCCACGGUCUCCGUGACGCAGCUAACGCAUUAAGUUCCCCGCCUGGGGAGUACGGCCGCAAGGCUAAAACUCAAAGGAAUUGACGGGGACCCGCACAAGCGGCGGAGCAUGCGGAUUAAUUCGAUGCAA
rnacentral:rRNA from 1 species